UGACUCUCGGCAAUGGAUAUCUUGGCUCUUGCAUCGAUGAAGAGCGCAGCGAAAUGCGAUACGUGGUGUGAAUUGCAGAAUCCCGUGAACCAUCGAGUUUUUGAACGCAAGUUGCGCCCGAGGCCAAUUGGCUAAGGGCACGUCCGCCUGGGCGUCAAG
rnacentral:rRNA from 1 species